AUGUUAUCUUCCAAUCAGGCUCGUUAAACCAAACAGAACCUAGUGAGCUUGUUCUCGUCGAUAAUCCAGCGAGCCUUGAAAGUAUUAAGAUACGACGUCAUAUUACAUACGGUAACUAUAAGAAUGGAAGCUUGAAAGUUGCCUCCACAAAUUUGCGUUUGUUUUCUGCAAACCCGCCAAUUUAACCCUGCCGUAGUCGCUCCAAACCUGGCCAAAUCAUGGAGUUACCCUGGAUUGACUUCGAUCGGAUUCUGCUGUUCGAGCGUACUCGAAUGACAGCUGACUACGCCAAGGACCCUCUUAUUUUUCCUAAAAUUCACUUGGAAACAAAUAAAGAGCUCUACUGUAAAUCUUUGAAAAUCAGUUCGAAGGACUGGAAUUGCAUAGGAAAUGCAUGGGCAUAUAAUUAGUCGAUAGGCUAUGUACGUUGAAAUACAUAGGCAUGGAAUUAUCAGCAGGCUAUGGCUGGAGGAUCUUCUGCUUCUUAUGUGCGGGUAUUAUUUAUAGAGUCAUCAAUUUCUGAGUCCAACCUGAAUUUAAUGUUUUGCAUCUGUAGUAUAAUUUUAUGAUAAAUGGUAGCCUGAAUGGAACAGUUAUUGUGGUUGCCUUAAAAAGGAACCAUUUCCUACUGAGUAAACUUGUUUGAAAUUUCCUUUUUC